UACAGAGGUGGCAAGCGUUGUUCGGAAUUACUGGGCGUAAAGGGCGCGUAGGCGGCCAUCUAAGUCAGACGUGAAAUCCCCCGGCUUAACCUGGGAACUGCGUCUGAUACUGGACGGCUUGAGUAUGGGAGAGGGAUGUAGAAUUCCAGGUGUAGCGGUGAAAUGCGUAGAUAUCUGGAGGAAUACCGGUGGCGAAGGCGGCAUCCUGGACCAUUACUGACGCUGAGGCGCGAAAGCCAGGGGAGCAAACGGG
rnacentral:rRNA from 1 species